AUUGAACGCUGGCGGCAGGCCUAACACAUGCAAGUCGAACGGUAACAGGAAGCAGCUUGCUGCUUUGCUGACGAGUGGCGGACGGGUGAGUAAUGUCUGGGAAACUGCCUGAUGGAGGGGGAUAACUACUGGAAACGGUAGCUAAUACCGCAUAACGUCGCAAGACCAAAGAGGGGGACCUUCGGGCCUCUUGCCAUCGGAUGUGCUCAGAUGGGAUUAGCUAGUAGGUGGGGUAACGGCUCACCUAGGCGACGAUCCCUAGCUGGUCUGAGAGGAUGACCAGCCACACUGGAACUGAGACACGGUCCAGACUCCUACGGGAGGCAGCAGUGGGGAAUAUUGCACAAUGGGCGCAAGCCUGAUGCAGCCAUGCCGCGUGUAUGAAGAAGGCCUUCGGGUUGUAAAGUACUUUCAGCGGGGAGGAAGGGAGUAAAGUUAAUACCUUUUCUCAUUGACGUUACCCGCAGAAGAAGCACCGGCUAACUCCGUG
rnacentral:rRNA from 1 species